rnacentral:rRNA from 1 species
CGUACACUCCUGCGGGAGGCAGCAGUGAGGAAUAUUGGACAAUGGGUGGAAGCCUGAUCCAGCCAUCCCGCGUGCAGGAAGACGGCCCUAUGGGUUGUAAACUGCUUUUAUCUGGGGAUAAACCUACUUACGUGUAAGUAGCUGAAGGUACCAGAAGAAUAAGCACCGGCUAGCUCCGUGCCAGCAGCCGCGGUAAUACGGAGGGUGCAAGCGUUAUCUGGAUUUAUUGGGUUUAAAGGGUCCGUAGGCGGACUGAUAAGUCAGUGGUGAAAUCCGACAGCUUAACUGUCGAACUGCCAUUGAUACUGUUAGUCUUGAGUAAGGUUGAAGUGGCUGGAAUAAGUAGUGUAGCGGUGAAAUGCAUAGAUAUUACUUAGAACACCAAUUGCGAAGGCAGGUCACUAAGUCUUAACUGACGCUGAUGGACGAAAGCGUGGGGAGCGAACAGGAUUAGAAACCCGAGUAGUCCCA